AAUUUGAAUUUUAGUUUUCUGUUUUGAAUGAUUGGGAACUUUGAUUUGUUUAUUUGUUGGUGUCUGGCGUAGAAAUUGAAAAAAAGUUUCAGUAUAUCUUCAAAUCUGAAACGUUUCUAGAAAAGUAUAAAUAGGACUUUCCUAAUUGAUUUAUGAGAAUUUGGGAUUGUUUUUUUUUUUGAAACGUUUCUUUUACACACGUGGCAGCCACGUGUGUGAUCUUAUGUGUCACUUAACAUCAUUUUGUCCUAGGGACUAACGGCCCAACGUGGUUAGGGACUACUAUGACCGACGGAGACAAACUCAGGGAUUUUUUUCACCAUUAAUGAAACCCAGGGACUACUAUGACCGAUGCUUACAAUCUCAGGGACCAAAAUGGUGAUUCACUCUUUUUCCUUUCACCACAUGCAUGUACCAUACAUGAUGUAUGUAUGGAUACACCAUUGGUCCCACAUACUCACACAAAGGAUGCACAUGCCACUCAUUAAAAAUCUGAACCAUAUCCUCUCUCUCACUCACUCGACCUUUUCUCUCUUUCUCCCACAAAAGAAAAAUAUGUUUUUCUUCUUCCUCAUUCUAUUUCUUCUGCAACCUCUCUUCUUCCUCCUCACCAUUUUCUUCUUCCCAACAUGUCUGGAACAACACCACCACCACGAGCCAAAACCGCGAGCACCACCACCUCCAUGCCUCCUUCACGCAGCAACCACCACUGUCCACGUUCUGUUUUUCCUCUCCAUGAAAGCCACCACCAAAACCCUAGCCGCCACCUUUUUCCUCCGAUCUCCGGCGAACCAUUAAGUUUUUGGAGAAACCAACGCCACCACUGAACUCCUCUAAUCAUCCGCAACAAAACCCCUCCAUCGAUUCGAUGAUCGGCCACCGUGACUCCGGCGACCGCCGCCGCCGCCGUCUUCUCCGGCGAGCUUUGUUCUGAGAAAGGAGGCCAAUUUCUUGAAGCUCUCGACCUCCUCUUCCUGAAUCUAAGGCUCAAUCAUCAUUAAGAGUGUCAAUGGCUACUGGAGGAAGGGGAGAGCACGACCAGACCAGAGGAAGAACUGAAGCUCAGUCCCAUGACCAUGAGACUUGAGGUAGAAGGAGAAAGAAUUGAACACUGUGUUUAGAAAUUAUAUGUUAAUAGAAAAAAAAUAUAGUGGUAGUAUUUUGGGCUUAUCCUUGUAUUAAUUAGUUAUGAUGGAAAAUGGUAUUGUUGGUGUCUAUAUUGGUACUGUUAUUCUAAAAAUAAAACCAUAUGUUAAAGCUGAAGUAAAUGUUUUGAAGGUUACACUUAGGUUAUUUUGGCUGAUGAGAUCAAUGGAGUUAUAUUGAAAAUAAAUAAUUAAAAAUUUCAA